AGCUCCAGUAGCGUAUAUUAAAACUGCUGCAGUUAAAGCGUCCGUAGUCGGAUUUCGUCCUUAUGUGACUGAGAGACUGUCUACAAGUAGAUAUGCCUUUUUUCGCUUCUGGACUCGAGCGAUGAGGGCCAAAACCCGCUUCGUUCUGUUACUUUGAGCAAAUUGGAGUGCUUCAACCAAGUGUUAAGCUUGAACAGCUCAGCAUGGAAUAACGUGAUAGGGCAUUGAUCCAUCUUGUUGGUGUUUGGGGUCGAUUGCAAUGGUUGUCAAGGACAUGAGGGGGCAUUUGUACUUGCUGGAGAGAGGUGAAAUUCUAAGACCCUGCAAAGACAAACAAGUGCGAAAGCAUUUGCCCAGCGUGGGCCUG
rnacentral:rRNA from 1 species